GAUUAAGUUAUUAAGGGCGCACGGUGGAUGCCUUGGCACUAGAAGCCGAUGAAGGACGUUACUAACGACGAUAUGCUUUGGGGAGCUGUAAGUAAGCUUUGAUCCAGAGAUUUCCGAAUGGGGAAACCCAGCAUGAGUUAUGUCAUGUUAUCGAUAUGUGAAUACAUAGCAUAUCAGAAGGCACACCCGGAGAACUGAAACAUCUUAGUACCCGGAGGAAGAGAAAGAAAAUUCGAUUCCCUUAGUAGCGGCGAGCGAAACGGGAAGAGCCCAAACCAACAAGUUUGCUUAUUGGGGUUGUAGGACACUCUAUACGGAGUUACAAAGGACGACAUUAGACGAAUCAUCUGGAAAGAUGAAUCAAAGAAGGUAAUAAUCCUGUAGUCGAAAAUGUUGUCUCUCUUGAGUGGAUCCUGAGUACGACGGAGCACGUGAAAUUCCGUCGGAAUCUGGGAGGACCAUCUCCUAAGGCUAAAUACUCUCUAGUGACCGAUAGUGAACCAGUACCGUGAGGGAAAGGUGAAAAGCACCCCGGAAGGGGAGUGAAAUAGAACCUGAAACCGUGUGCUUACAAGUAGUCAGAGCCCGUUAAUGGGUGAUGGCGUGCCUUUUGUAGAAUGAACCGGCGAGUUACGAUUUGAUGCAAGGUUAAGCAGUAAAUGUGGAGCCGUAGCGAAAGCGAGUCUGAAUAGGGCGUUUAGUAUUUGGUCGUAGACCCGAAACCAGGUGAUCUACCCUUGGUCAGGUUGAAGUUCAGGUAACACUGAAUGGAGGACCGAACCGACUUACGUUGAAAAGUGAGCGGAUGAACUGAGGGUAGCGGAGAAAUUCCAAUCGAACCUGGAGAUAGCUGGUUCUCUCCGAAAUAGCUUUAGGGCUAGCCUCAAGUGAUGAUUAUUGGAGGUAGAGCACUGUUUGGACGAGGGGCCCCUCUCGGGUUACCGAAUUCAGACAAACUCCGAAUGCCAAUUAAUUUAACUUGGGAGUCAGAACAUGGGUGAUAAGGUCCGUGUUCGAAAGGGAAACAGCCCAGACCACCAGCUAAGGUCCCAAAAUAUAUGUUAAGUGGAAAAGGAUGUGGCGUUGCCCAGACAACUAGGAUGUUGGCUUAGAAGCAGCCAUCAUUUAAAGAGUGCGUAAUAGCUCACUAGUCGAGUGACACUGCGCCGAAAAUGUACCGGGGCUAAACAUAUUACCGAAGCUGUGGAUUGUCCUUUGGACAAUGGUAGGAGAGCGUUCUAAGGGCGUUGAAGCAUGAUCGAAAGGACAUGUGGAGCGCUUAGAAGUGAGAAUGCCGGUGUGAGUAGCGAAAGACGGGUGAGAAUCCCGUCCACCGAUUGACUAAGGUUUCCAGAGGAAGGCUCGUCCGCUCUGGGUUAGUCGGGUCCUAAGCUGAGGCCGACAGGCGUAGGCGAUGGAUAACAGGUUGAUAUUCCUGUACCACCUAUAAUCGUUUUAAUCGAUGGGGGGACGCAGUAGGAUAGGCGAAGCGUGCGAUUGGAUUGCACGUCUAAGCAGUAAGGCUGAGUAUUAGGCAAAUCCGGUACUCGUUAAGGCUGAGCUGUGAUGGGGAGAAGACAUUGAGUCUUCGAGUCGUUGAUUUCACACUGCCGAGAAAAGCCUCUAGAUAGAAAAUAGGUGCCCGUACCGCAAACCGACACAGGUAGUCAAGAUGAGAAUUCUAAGGUGAGCGAGCGAACUCUCGUUAAGGAACUCGGCAAAAUGACCCCGUAACUUCGGGAGAAGGGGUGCUCUUUAGGGUUAACGCCCAGAAGAGCCGCAGUGAAUAGGCCCAAGCGACUGUUUAUCAAAAACACAGGUCUCUGCUAAACCGUAAGGUGAUGUAUAGGGGCUGACGCCUGCCCGGUGCUGGAAGGUUAAGAGGAGUGGUUAGCUUCUGCGAAGCUACGAAUCGAAGCCCCAGUAAACGGCGGCCGUAACUAUAACGGUCCUAAGGUAGCGAAAUUCCUUGUCGGGUAAGUUCCGACCCGCACGAAAGGCGUAACGAUUUGGGCACUGUCUCAACGAGAGACUCGGUGAAAUCAUAGUACCUGUGAAGAUGCAGGUUACCCGCGACAGGACGGAAAGACCCCGUGGAGCUUUACUGUAGCCUGAUAUUGAAAUUCGGCACAGCUUGUACAGGAUAGGUAGGAGCCUUUGAAACGUGAGCGCUAGCUUACGUGGAGGCGCUGGUGGGAUACUACCCUAGCUGUGUUGGCUUUCUAACCCGCACCACUUAUCGUGGUGGGAGACAGUGUCAGGCGGGCAGUUUGACUGGGGCGGUCGCCUCCUAAAAGGUAACGGAGGCGCUCAAAGGUUCCCUCAGAAUGGUUGGAAAUCAUUCAUAGAGUGUAAAGGCAUAAGGGAGCUUGACUGCGAGACCUACAAGUCGAGCAGGGUCGAAAGACGGACUUAGUGAUCCGGUGGUUCCGCAUGGAAGGGCCAUCGCUCAACGGAUAAAAGCUACCCCGGGGAUAACAGGCUUAUCUCCCCCAAGAGUUCACAUCGACGGGGAGGUUUGGCACCUCGAUGUCGGCUCAUCGCAUCCUGGGGCUGUAGUCGGUCCCAAGGGUUGGGCUGUUCGCCCAUUAAAGCGGUACGCGAGCUGGGUUCAGAACGUCGUGAGACAGUUCGGUCCCUAUCCGUCGUGGGCGUAGGAAAUUUGAGAGGAGCUGUCCUUAGUACGAGAGGACCGGGAUGGACAUACCUCUGGUGUACCAGUUGUCGUGCCAACGGCAUAGCUGGGUAGCUAUGUGUGGACGGGAUAAGUGCUGAAAGCAUCUAAGCAUGAAGCCCCCCUCAAGAUGAGAUUUCCCAACUUCGGUUAUAAGAUCCCUCAAAGAUGAUGAGGUUAAUAGGUUCGAGGUGGAAGCAUGGUGACAUGUGGAGCUGACGAAUACUAAUCGAUCGAAGACUUAAUCAA
rnacentral:rRNA from 1 species